AUGCACAGAUUCCUGGGGGUGUCGAUGGUGACACUGUGGCUGCAACUGACAAGGAUGAACAGUCAAGUAGCAGAAGAGAAUCCUUGGGCCCUGAGGAUCCUCGAGGGUGAAAACGUCACUGUGAACUGUAGUUACAAGACAUCCAUAGCUGCCCUACUGUGGUACAGACAGAAGUCAGGCCAAGGUCCUGCCCUGGUAGUGUUAAUACGUUCCAAUGAGAGAGAGAAGCACAGCGGGAGACUAAGAGCCACCCUUGACACCUCCAGCCAGAGCAGCUCCCUGUCCAUCAGUGCUGCUCAGUCUGCAGACACUGCUGUAUACUUCUGUGCUACAGAUGCACAGUGUGAGGCAGGCACCUGCAGCCCUGACACAAACCCUCAGGGCUGCUUCCUAGACCCCAACUGUGGGUGA